rnacentral:ncRNA from 1 species
GGUGAUACGUCUAACCACAAUCUUUGCAGCUUUAGGGGGAACUCUAGAUCUGUGUGAUCGGGCAUUGGUGGCUCACGGGUGCAGCAGUGGGGAACCAUGGACAAUGGGCAAAACCUUGAUCCAGCAAUAUCGCGUGAGUGAAGAAGAGCAAUGCCGCUUGUAAAGCUCUUUCGUCGAGUACACGAUCAUGAUAGGACUUGAGGAAGAAGUCCUGGCUUACUCCAUGCCAGCGGCAUUGUUUUCUUUCCAGAUUUGUUCAGGAAAAAAUUUCCAUCCGCGGGCCUAGCGAGAAAGGUGAAACACAUGGUGUCGACA